rnacentral:rRNA from 1 species
UUUUAUUUGAGAGUUUGAUCCUGGCUCAGGAUGAACGCUGGCGGCGUGCCUAACACAUGCAAGUUGAGCGAUUUACUUCGGUAAAGAGCGGCGGACGGGUGAGUAACGCGUGGGUAACCUACCCUGUACACACGGAUAACAUACCGAAAGGUAUGCUAAUACGGGAUAAUAUAUUUGAGAGGCAUCUCUUAAAUAUCAAAGGUGAGCCAGUACAGGAUGGACCCGCGUCUGAUUAGCUAGUUGGUAAGGUAACGGCUUACCAAGGCGACGAUCAGUAGCCGACCUGAGAGGGUGAUCGGCCACAUUGGAACUGAGACACGGUCCAAACUCCUACGGGAGGCAGCAGUGGGGAAUAUUGCACAAUGGGCGAAAGCCUGAUGCAGCAACGCCGCGUGAGUGAUGAAGGCCUUCGGGUCG